UUAAAAAGAUGUAUAUUUAAUGAGAAGUAAAUGUACAAGGGGUAUAUCAAGAGGUCGUAAAGUACAUAUACCUCCGCUAGCAAAUGGUUAGGAUAUAGAUUCCAGGCUAAAACGGACUUGUUACAUUUGAGUUAAACUUUUCAGUAGACUUUUAGUGCUGUAUUUGAAUCAUGUUAAUGGACAUGAUAUUUUUUGUAUUAUGCUGUCUUGAUUCUAUUAAAAUUUAUUUAUAUACUAUUAAUUAAUUGAUGUCGCUAAUAAUCAUUGACAAUUAAAAUUUUCGUUAAAAUGGGCAUUGAUAAUUUCACUUUUUGUUAAAAUGGAUUAAACAUCAUGCGCUAAAUUGGGUUAUACUUUGGAGCUAAAACGUCACCCAUGAUUUUUUCGCUAAAAUGUCCUAUUAACAUGAUUUAUGCGCUAAAAUGUUCUCUACCGGUAUGAACGUAAUUAUCCAAUAGACUUAUGAAAGCGACAAGGGAAGAGAAAAAAAAUAAUAAGUCAGCGUCAUCUUUCAUUUGCUAAAAAAAAAGAUGUUUGGCAAAAAAGGGGGUGCAAAACACAGUUUUUCCUGACUCCCCUAAUUUUGGAGCCAUAAUUGCAGUUAAUAUAACAUCUUUCUUGACAAGUAUUUCAUCCGAUAAGAAAUGCCUCAUUGUAUCUCUUAAUCCAUGUGUAUGAACCAUAUGGUUUUACUAGCUGUCUAAACGGUGAUUGUAAUCUAUAAUAGUGUGUGUCUCCCGCCAAAUACAGCACACGGUUUGUUUGUGAAACCUUUACACAGCAUUAUACUCUUGGAAUUCUGAAUGGAGGUCAUGGAAGGCAAUACUGAGUAUGUAUAUAACGAAGAGGACGUUUCAAAGAAAUAUGAUAUAGGUUACCAAGAUGAUUUCGAUGAGAAGGCUGACCAGGUGAACAAUCUAUACGAACUCAAAAGAUAGGAAACAUUUCCUGGUUUAGAGAAGAACACCACACAUUUGAUCUCUUGUUGGUUGGGAAAUACAAGUUGACGUUGGAAAGGAAACUAAAUGCUCUACAACAUUUAAAAAACUGUUAUAUAUAGUGCUUCUACAUGUAUGUGUGGGACCCUAAAUAACUCCAACGAGUAUCAGCUAUUACAUCAUGUAUUAGGAGGAUAUGAUCAACAAUAUAUAUAUUUGAGGAUAAGAUUAACAAAUCCUAAAAGUGUGAAUAUUGUACAAAAUUGUCAAUUACAAUAUGCAUAAUAUCUUACUUACUAUAAAAUUUAAAGAAGUGUAACAAAGUUAUCACUUAUGAUUUUUCCAGACGUUUUAAGUCAAAUUAAAUUCCAUUUGUAUAUUUCAGUAAGAAUUCCUAAUUCUAAUUGGACACAUGAAAAAAGUAUUGCUGUUGUAUGUGUGUAUUUUAAGCAGACAGUAGCUACAAAUUAAAAUGUAUUUGAUGUGCUUAAGGGAGUUUAUUAAUGUUUUAUCAAAAUUUGAUGUUAUUGUAAUGAAAAAGUAAGGAAAAUGUUUACCAAUCAUUUGUCAAUUUGUUAUUCUACGAAGACUUUAUAACAAAGGAACAACUCUCACCUCACUGCAAGGCAACCAAGUACGAUUAACUGAGUUCAUUUAUUAUUAUAAUAUUACUUUCAAAUUAAAUGCGGUAUUUUCUUUUCAUACGAUAUAUAUGUCUAUGUUUCGUUUUACCUUGUUAACAAUAAUGUCCUUACCAUUAUUCUGAUAACACUAUAUAUGUGUUUUUGGUCAGAAUUCUGAUAGAUAUACUAUCAGAUUAUUACAUGGCAUUUUUCAUAUCCCGAAGGCUCGA